rnacentral:rRNA from 1 species
CACCAGCCCCUCGAGUGGUGGGGAUGAUUAUUUGGCCUAAAGCGUCCGUAGCCGGCCGGGUAAGUUUUCCGUUAAAUCCAAUGUCUCAAGCAUUAGACUGCGGGAAAUACUGCCUGGCUAGAGAGUGGGAGAGGUGUACGGUAUUCUGGGGGUAGGGGCGAAAUCCUUUGAUCCCCGGAGGACCACCAGUGGCGAAGGCUGUACACUAGAACACGUCUGACGGUCAGGGACGAAAGCUGGGGUAGCGAACCGGAUUAGAUACCCGGGUAGUCCCAGCUGUAAACGAUGCAUGCUAGGUGUUGGGUUGGCCACGAGCCACCCCAGUGCCGCAGGGAAGCCGUUAAGCAUGCCGCCUGGGAAGUACGAUCGCAAGAUUGAAACUUAAAGGAAUUGGCGGGGGAGCACCACCAGGCGUGAAGCCUGCGGUUU